rnacentral:rRNA from 1 species
CAGUCGCCGCGGUAAUACGAACCGUGCGAACGUUAUUCGGAAUCACUGGGCGUAAAGCGUGCGUAGGCGGUUCGUUAAGUCUGUUGUGAAAGCCCCGGGCUCAACCUGGGAAUGGCAAUGGAUACUGGCGAGCUAGAGUGUGUCAGAGGAUGGUGGAAUUCCCGGUGUAGCGGUGAAAUGCGUAGAGAUCGGGAGGAACAUCAGUGGCGAAGGCGGCCAUCUGGGACAACACUGACGCUGAGGCACGAAAGCGUGGGGAGCAAACAGGAUUAGAGACCCCCGUAGUCCCUGUCUCUUAUAC